rnacentral:snoRNA from 1 species
UUGAGAUGAAGAUCCACAGCACUGGGCACUGAAUAAUUUAUGAGUGACAUGCUUUUUUAUGUGAGCCUAGAAAACUCACGCUACUGAUCAA